GGAAAUGGAAGUUAUUCGUUGGUGAAGGGAUUAGAAACGACCCCGAAGGUUCUUUAACAAAUGUUUAAUACUCAUACUGUAACCUCAAAUUUAGCCCAUAGACAAGCAAAUUGCACAUUUCAACAAGCUGUCUGGAGUUUUGUCUGGAGGUAAUAAUAACAUUCUCCUGAAACACAUUACUUGGCUGAAUGAAAAGCAGAUGGACUCCUUUAUUCCAGGAAACUCCUGUCACGAGAGGCUCUGAAGAGAGGGACACAGACAGAGAAAGGAAAAUAUGCGCAUUUUGUCUCAAAGCAGCAGAGUACACGGUGAGCAAGACAAAGGCUGCAAGAAAUGAAACUCUUAAGAUGUUUAGAUGAAGUGGGACAAAGAGGUGAACCAGACUCAUCUGAAAAAAGCCCGUCCUCCUCUGGUAAAAAAAUCCUCACAUGUCUGGUCUGGAUCGGUUCCCCUUAUGCGGUUCCCCUUAUAAUGAUCUGCCCGCUGCUACAAGAUCUACAGGUUCUGUGGCCAUCUUUAAGAAUCGUCUGAAAACACAUCUCUUCCGUCAACACCUGACCGAUCAGUUCUGACUUCUAUUUCUUUUCUACUCUUUUAAAAAAGAAAUAAAAAAAACCUUCUAACUUAGUUCUGUAUACUGGUAGGCUAUUUGAGACCAGUCUUUUUGAUUGCACUUAUGCUUUUUGUUGUCCUCAAGCUGUCCCAAGUGCUUCCAUUGUUUACCCCAUCCUU